rnacentral:rRNA from 1 species
GAUGAACGCUAGCGGCAGGCUUAAUACAUGCAAGUCGAGGGACAGCACAGGUAGCAAUACUGGGUGGUAACCGGCAAACGGGUGCGGAACACGUACACAACCUUCCUUUAAGUGGGGGAUAGCCCAGAGAAAUUUGGAUUAAUACCCCGUAAUAUAGUUGAAUGGCAUCAUUUGAUUAUUAUAGCUACGGCGCUUAAUGAUGGGUGUGCGGCUGAUUAGAUAGUUGGCGGGGUAACGGCCCACCUAGUCUACGAUCAGUAGCUGAUGUGAGAGCAUGAGCAGCCACACGGGCACUGAGACACGGGCCCGACUCCUACGGGAGGCAGCAGUAAGGAAUAUUGGUCAAUGGACGCAAGUCUGAACCAGCCAUGCCGCGUGAAGGAUUAAGGUCCUCUGGAUUGUAAACUUCUUUUAUUUGGGACGAAAAAGGGCCUUUCUAGGUCAACUGACGGUACCAGAUGAAUAAGCACCGGCUAACUCCGUGCCAGCCGCCGCAGUAACAC